rnacentral:rRNA from 1 species
GCCCAGACUCCUACGGGAGGCAGCAGUCGAGAAUCAUUCACAAUGGGGGAAACCCUGAUGGUGCGACGCCGCGUGGGUGAAGGAGUGCUUCGGCAUGUAAAGCCCUAUCGGCAGGGAAGAAGCAAGACGGUACCUGACUAAGAAGCCCCGGCUAACUACGUGCCAGCAGCCGCGGUAAUACGUAGGGGGCAAGCGUUAUCCGGAUUUACUGGGUGUAAAGGGAGCGUAGACGGCGGCGCAAGCCAGAUGUGAAAGCCCGGGGCUCAACUCCGGGACUGCAUUUGGAACUGUGUGGCUGGAGUGUCGGAGAGGCAGGCGGAAUUCCUAGUGUAGCGGUGAAAUGCGUAGAUAUUAGGAGGAACACCAGUGGCGAAGGCGGCCUGCUGGACGAUGACUGACGUUGAGGCUCGAAAGCGUGGGGAGCAAACAGGAUUAGAUACCCCAGUACG